GCGGGUGUAGCUCAAUGGCAGAGCAGAAGCUUCCCAAGCUUACGACGAGGGUUUGCUUCUCGUACGAUUCACUUUCGUCAUGCGCUGCA
rnacentral:tRNA from 1 species